rnacentral:rRNA from 1 species
UACGGAGGGGGCAAGCGUUGUCCGGAAUUACUGGGCGUAAAGAGCUCGUAGGUGGUUUGUCGCGUUGUUCGUGAAAACUCACAGCUCAACUGUGGGCGUGCGGGCGAUACGGGCAGACUGGAGUACUGCAGGGGAGACUGGAAUUCCUGGUGUAGCGGUGGAAUGCGCAGAUAUCAGGAGGAACACCCGCGGCGAAGGCGGCCCGCUGGGCCAUCCCUGACGCUGAGGCGCGAAGGCCAGGGGAGCGAACGGG